rnacentral:rRNA from 1 species
UACGUAGGGGGCAAGCGUUGUCCGGAAUUAUUGGGCGUAAAGAGCGCGUAGGCGGUCCGAUAAGUCGGCUGUGAAAGUCAAGGGCUCAACCCUUGGAAGCCGGCCGAUACUGUCGGACUAGAGUCCGGAAGAGGCGAGUGGAAUUCCCGGUGUAGCGGUGAAAUGCGCAGAUAUCGAGAGGAACACCGGCGGCGAAGGCGGCCAACUGGACGAAUACUGACGCUGAGACACGAAAGCGUGGGGAGCAAACAGG